GAUGAACGCUGGCGGCGUGCCUAAUACAUGCAAGUCGAGCAAACAGACGAGGAGCUUGCUCCUCUGACGUUAGCGGCGGACGGGUGAGUAACACGUGGAUAACCUACCUAUAAGACUGGGAUAACUUCGGGAAACCGGAGCUAAUACCGGAUAAUAUAUUGAACCGCAUGGUUCAAUAGUGAAAGACGGUUUUGCUGUCACUUAUAGAUGGAUCCGCGCCGCAUUAGCUAGUUGGUAAGGUAACGGCUUACCAAGGCAACGAUGCGUAGCCGACCUGAGAGGGUGAUCGGCCACACUGGAACUGAGACACGGUCCAGACUCCUACGGGAGGCAGCAGUAGGGAAUCUUCCGCAAUGGGCGAAAGCCUGACGGAGCAACGCCGCGUGAGUGAUGAAGGUCUUCGGAUCGUAAAACUCUGUUAUUAGGGAAGAACAAAUGUGUAAGUAACGAUGCACGUCUUGACGGUACCUAAGCAGAAAGCCACGGCUAACUACGU
rnacentral:rRNA from 1 species